AUAGUGAUUAGUAGCUUCACGGUAUAUGGAUAAGGUUAUAAGUGCUCCAAUGAGCAUAUUGUUAUAAGAUACAGCGGGUCUGUCCAAAGGGUGGUAAUAUUAGUUGUAGUUUUACCUGCAGUUCUUUAUUUGACUUUAAAAAAUAUUUAGUAUUUAUUCUAAGAACUAUAUUUAUUUAUAACCUGCAAUGCGAGACAAAAUGUAGAAUAAAAAUCAUUUUACAUAUUUUAAAAUCUAAAUAAAGGGAUUUUUAAAUUUAUUUGUGUGUGUGACUAUGGUGUCUAGAACUUAGACAGUUGUCUCCCUUUCAGCCAUCCACUCAGCAAUGCUAUUCUACAGCCUCAUUGUUUUAUGUAUUGUUACAAUCAAUCAAGUUUCCUCAGAUGAAUAUAGGAAAGUUCUUCCCCAGUACCGGAAGUCUUUCUCAAUCUAUGGCAAGAGCAACAUUCGUGCGCUUUACAAGGCGCUAGAGCCAGCCAUCAUAUCGUUCUUUAAAAUAAAACACCUGACGAAGGAUUACUUCCUGUAUUCCAUUCGACAGAGAGAUCCCUGGACCCAGUCCGUGCUGAAGGGUCGUUUUUAUCGCAUGGACCCGAACAAGGACGGAGUGAUGAACGAGAAAGAUUUGAACGGGUACUUUCGAUUCGUUAUGCUGUCGGACAUGCUUGUAGGGGGCGCUGACGCCAAUAACGACUACACCGUUACCAAAAAGGAAUUCCAGCAGCAUGUGGCCAGGUUGAACCCAAGCCAGGAUAAGACGUUACAAGUCUCGUUCGACAUAAUGUUUAAAGACUUGGACUCAAACCAAGAUCAGCUCUUCAACACAAAUGACUUUUUGGCUUGCAAAUAAGGUUUGUUAAGAAGAUAUACCUCACUUGGUAACCAAGACUUGGGACAAGUUGUAUUAUAUAAGACACGUUUAUUUUUAUAUGAUUUUGCUGGGAAAAUAUUUUGCAUGGCCAGUUAAUUCCCUUAUACAAAUUACGAAAAUAUUAUUUAU